AGCAGCAGCUGACUGCCCAGUUCAAGGUCAGUUCACCGUCUCACCUCAUACUGUAUUGGAACAGCAGCAGCUGACUUGAUCGUUGAUGCUAAUCAUCAUGUUUUGAAUCUGAGAGUAAAUGGAUCCGACCACAACUCUAAAAAUGAAGGGUUCAACUGGAGUUGUUCUCAGAUCCCCUAAGAACCGUAGGGUUCUUGGUCAAUGAAAAACAGCCCCAAAAGGUUCUUCAAAGAACUUGUUAGAAGGUGGAUUCAUCGAGGAACCUCCGUUGUUGCUGGACUUCUUCCGGGAACUUCGCAAUUACAACUGAAAACGAUGAUCUUCUCAGAAAUGAAUCAAGUCCAUGGAAUGGAUAAAGACAAAAAGACAAUUCAAGGACUAUCAGAGGUAGAGAGGCGAGGCAGGGAUUUCACCGCUCUUCACUCCUUUACUGCACAUCGGCGGAAAUCCAUUUCACCACGAGAGUGAAAUCCCGCUGGCCUUUGAUGGGGAGAACAUCCACGCCCUCGAGGACGUCUCCAUGGGACUUGGGGCUCUGCUAGGGCUGGAUUUUUUAUUUUCCCUUAAAUUUCCCCCAAAUGUCAGAAAAACACUUAUGUUGUUAAUUAAGUUACUGUGUUCUGGGGAGAAGAGAAGUUGGGGUGAAGUUACCAGGGCCGGUCAUAAAGAUGGCAAACUUCCUAACACAACUAAGUGAAUAUGAUAUACACACUAAAGCUAAAAAAAUUGUAUUUAGCAUCAAGUCAACAAUAUUGUUAGUUUACCUAUGAUUCAUUUAUAAUGUUUUUAUUGUACCCCAUUAUUUAUUUUUUAAAUGUCAUGAAAAGCUCUAUACAAAGUAAAUGUAUUAUUUAUUAUGGUCUGACAUGUUUGCAGAAAUGUUGCAAUUUUGUAAUGUGUUUUGAUUGGUCAAUUGUUUUGUAAAUAUUAAUUCACGUUUGUGGUGCCACUAA